rnacentral:rRNA from 1 species
AACGCGAAGAACCUUACCAAGGCUUGACAUGCUGGGAAAUCCUCCAGAGAUGGGGGGUCCUUCGGGUCCGAGCACAGGUGGUGCAUGGCUGUCGUCAGCUCGUGUCGUGAGAUGUUGGGUUAAGUCCCGCAACGAGCGCAACCCUUGUCCUAUGUUGCCAGCGGUUCGGCCGGGGACUCAUAGGAGACUGCCGGGGUCAACUCGGAGGAAGGUGGGGACGACGUCAAGUCAUCAUGCCCCUUACGUCUUGGGCUGCACACAUGCUACAAUGGCCGGUACAAUGGGCUGCGAGACCGCGAGGUGGAGCGAAUCCCAAAAAGCCGGUCUCAGUUCGGAUCGGAGUCUGCAACUCGACUCCGUGAAGUCGGAGUCGCUAGUAAUCGCAGAUCAGCAUUGCUGCGGUGAAUACGUUCCCGGGCCUUGUACACACCGGUAUCUC